AGAAUAUUAUAUUUGUACUAUCGAAUAAAUAAAUAAAUAAUUAUUGGAUAUACUGACAGUGAAAUUUUUUAACUCCAUAAAUAGGGUUAAGAUGGUGACACUUGUCUCAUUUUUUUUUAAAUUAGUUUAUUUAUUUUUAAAUGUACUACAACUUCAUGGCCUUCAAGCAAUGGCUUUGGCAACAAGAUAAUCUAAUCUCUUCGGAAAGGUAGGUAAACUCGACAUAAGCUAUGUUCAGAUCUUGAUGUUAAGACCGGUGCAAUGGGCGAAGACCUUCAGAGGCAGGGUAAGAGUCUCCCUUUUUUAUAGCCCGGAGACGGGACUACUCAAGCACUUUAACCGAUGCGUGGGCUUGACCAAUCUCCUUUAGGAUUGUCUCCAUCUUAAUUCCACAUAUGAAGUUAAAAAACUAUACUAUCAAUGUAUUUGAUAA
rnacentral:lncRNA from 1 species